rnacentral:rRNA from 1 species
UACGUAGGGUGCAAGCGUUAAUCGGAAUUACUGGGCGUAAAGAGCGUGUAGGCGGCCUGGUAGGUCUGCUGUGAAAACUCGAGGCUCAACCUCGAGAUGUCGGCGGAAACCAUCUGGCUAGAGUCCGGAAGAGGAGAGUGGAAUUCCUGGUGUAGCGGUGAAAUGCGCAGAUAUCAGGAAGAACACCUAUGGCGAAGGCAGCUCUCUGGGACGGUACUGACGCUGAGACGCGAAAGCGUGGGGAGCGAACAGG